CAACGUGGGUAACCUGCCCAAGAGAUCGGGAUAACACCUGGAAACAGAUGCUAAUACCGGAUAACAACAGAUGAUGCCUAUCAACUGUUUAAAAGAUGGUUCUGCUAUCACUCUUGGAUGGACCUGCGGUGCAUUAGCUAGUUGGUAGGGUAACGGCCUACCAAGGCGAUGAUGCAUAGCCGAGUUGAGAGACUGAUCGGCCACAUUGGGACUGAGACACGGCCCAAACUCCUACGGGGGCAGCAGGG
rnacentral:rRNA from 1 species